GCGGAGACGCAAGUUUCCGUUCACUCCUCACACCACACUCUGGCCUAAGCUGGUGCUUAGGUCUUU
rnacentral:sRNA from 1 species